UCUUCUUUCAGGGCCUGCUGAAUAACAAUCAAGGAUGACAGCUCUGGUCAACUUCAUCUCUCUCAUGCAGGAUUAAAUAUGAAGGUGAACCCCAUUUAUCUGGCCCAAAUUUCUGGACUUGCUGAGUCUCUGCACUUGAAUUCAAGGAAGGCAAAAGGCAUCAAGAUCACAAGUGGAGAUGUUCACUGAUGAUUAUACAAUGCUCAGUACCAUUUGCUACACCA